rnacentral:lncRNA from 1 species
GCGGACGUCCGCACUUCGCUAAAAUGCGGACGUCGACGCAGCAGGCGGGUUCCAGGCGACGACGGCGGCGCGGGGCUGGCCGGAGGCGUCCCAGACCUCUUCUGGGCGGCGUUCGAGGUCGGAGGAGGUCGGGCUUGCCGGUUUCUGGGCAGCCACCUCACCUGCAGUUGCAGGUUCUGUGCAGCACCGCAGAACCGUCGUCGGCGACUCCACCACACCGCAUACCCCUCCGCACGACCCCCGGCGUCCAUCCGGCAAGCCGCGCCGCGCCGUAGCUGCUCGAUCGAGGCAGGAGGAGCGAAGUCCG